UACGUAGGGGGCGAGCGUUGUCCGGAAUCAUUGGGCGUAAAGAGCUCGUAGGCGGUUCAGUAAGUCAGGUGUGAAAGCUCCGAGCUCAACUCGGAGAGGCCACCUGAUACUGCUGUGACUAGAAUCCAGUAGGGGAGUGUGGAACUCCUGGUGUAGCGGUGAAAUGCGCAGAUAUCAGGAAGAACACCAGCGGCGAAGGCGGGUCUCUGGGCCGAUAUUGACGCUGAGGAGCGAAAGCGUGGGGAGCGAACAGG
rnacentral:rRNA from 1 species